UUAAGUUCAGCGGGUAUUCCUACCUGAUCCGAGGUCAAACUUUCAGAAGUGGGGGGUUUAACGGCGUGGCCGCGCUGCGAUCCAGUGCGAGUGUUGCUACUACGCAGAGGAAGCUACAGCGAGACCGCCACUAGAUUUAGGGGACGGCGGGCGCCCGAGGGCGCCUGUGCCGAUCCCCAACACCAAGCUGGGCUUGAGGG
rnacentral:misc_RNA from 1 species